rnacentral:misc_RNA from 1 species
AAGUCGUAACAAGGUUUCCGUAGGUGAACCUGCGGAAGGAUCAUUAAUGAUUUUAAAGCGAGUCGAGCGUUAAGCGAGGCUUGCGAAAAUAUUUAAAACCCCACUCUUUUUAACUUUAAAAAAAAUAAAUCAUGAUACAUGAAUUUAAAAAAAAGAUCACUUUCAACAACGGAUCUCUUGGCUCUC